ACCCACCCACCCAGACAAAUCGAAGCUAAGAGACAUUCUACAAAAUAACCAGCCAGUACUCUUGAAAAAGUGCCAAAAUCGAGACCCACACGCUGCUCCCAGCCACAGCCUCCUGCACGCCUUGCUUAGCUCCAACAUGGCAAAAAUCUACAGCCCUACAGAGACUGAGCGGUGCAUCGAGUCCCUGAUUGCCGUUUUCCAGAAGUAUGCUGGAAAGGAUGGUUAUAACUACACUCUCUCCAAGACGGAGUUCCUAAGCUUCAUGAAUACAGAACUGGCUGCCUUCACAAAGAACCAGGAGGACCCCGAUGUCCUUGACCGCAUGAUGAAGAAACUGGACACCAACAGUGACGGGCAGCUAGAUUUCUCAGAAUUUCUUAAUGUGAUUGGUGGCCUAGCUACGGCUUGCCACGACUCCUUCCUCAAGGCUGUCCCUUCCCAGAAGUGGACCUGAGGACCCCUUAGGCCUGGCCUUCAAAUCCACCCCAUUUCCUUCCAGCCUUUCUGUCAUCAUCUCCACAGCCCACACAUUAUGCCCUGAGCCCAGCACACCAAACACCUCAUGCAGGCCCCACCUGCAGAUAAUAAUAAAACAAUGUCCCUCUUUUAAAACAUGAAAAAAA